ACUAUAAUGAUGCCUACUGUGUGCAUAGUGGUGGCUAAAGAGGAUGCAGAGCCUCUUCUGUUCAAACGUGGCAGUCACUUAUUACAAAGAGAGGAUGGAGAAUUGAAUUUAAUUUUGUCAGGAUGUAAAAUCCUGCCCAUCCAAAUGAGCCACCAUGAACUAAGCAGCUUUGUUCUGCUAUGAGCUUCUGUGUGGUGUUUCUGCCUUGGAUCCAGCCAACUAUGAAUUGUCACCUCUGAAACUGAAUGCAGAAUGCAACAGUUGUGGGGUCAGGAAGGCUUCCACCCAGAUUUCAAAGGAAGGCCUGGGAAGCCAGGCAAAGACCUCCAGACUUACAGUACAUGAAACUGAAGAUGCACUAGAGACCCCAGGAAGUCAGAGAUGUGAAGAAUGUGGAAUAUCUGCUGAGGAAAGCCACAGGCUGUGAAUGAACC
ensembl:lncRNA